GCCCUGUGGUUACUGGAUGCUGUUGUGCAGGUACAGCUCUCCAGUGGAUAGCAAUGGGCCAGAGCAUUACUGUGAUGUAUGCAUGGGGGCUGUUCCUCCUCAGCAGCCGCCAUAGCCCGGUCACUGGUACAUGG
ensembl:snoRNA small nucleolar RNA SNORA84